CAGUCGCCACGGUAAUACGUAGGGGGCAAGCGUUAUCCGGAAUUAUUGGGCGUAAAGAGUACGUAGGUGGCUAUAUAAGCGCAUGGUGAAAGGCAGAGGCUUAACCACUGUUAGCCUUGCGAACUGUAUAGCUUGAGUAUGGAAGAGGUGAGUGGAAUUCCGAGUGUAGAGGUGAAAUUCGUAGAUAUUCGGAGGAACACCAGUGGCGAAGGCGGCUCACUGGUCCAUUACUGACGCUGAGGUGCGAAAGCGUGGGGAGCAAACAGGAUUAGAUACCCCAGUAGUCCCUGUCUCUUAUACA
rnacentral:rRNA from 1 species